rnacentral:rRNA from 1 species
CAAAUACUUUUUUUAUAUUUUUACAUUAUUUUGAUUUAUAAAUUUAAAUUCUUUUAGUAUUAUAAUUGAAAUUUAUAUUUAAAUUGUACUGUGAAGGUUUUAUAUUAAAUUUAUUAAAAGUAUUUUUUCUAGUACCUUUUGUAUCAGGGUAAUUUAAAUAAUUUAAUUACUUAUUUAUUUUCCCGAAUAAGAAAGUUUUAUUAGAUUAUUUAAUGAUUAAUUUGUGUCAAAAAAUUUUGUAAUAUUCUAAUAGUAGUGAAAUGUUAAUCGUUUUCUAUAUAUCUGGUUGUUAAGGAUUAAAUUCAAUUUUACAUUCAUUUUUAUGUUAUAAUUUUGUUAGUAUUUGAAUGUUAUUUUAUUAGGGAUAAUCUUAAUAAAUUUUAUAUAAUGACUUUAUUUAUGUAAAUCUUAUUAUCUUUUAAAUUUUGUAUUUAGUUUGUAUUUAAUUGGCUUUAUUUAAUAUUAUUUUUUUAUAUUUAAAUUUUUACUUAACCUUUAUUAUUAAUUACUAUAGAUUAUUGAUAAUGAUUUAAUUAGUAUAAUUUUUAUAUAAUUAUAAAUUAACUCGACAAAUUUUAUUUCCAACUGUUUAUCAAAAACAUUUCUUUUUGUAUUUUUAAAAAGUAUCUUCUGCCCUAUGGUUUACUCUAAAUGGCUGCAGUAUUUUGACUGUGCAAAGGUAGCAUAGUAAUUAGCUUCUUAAUUGGGAGCUGGUAUGAAUGGAUGUAUGAGAAAUUUAUUUUAUUAUUUUUAAAUUUAGAAUUUAAAUUCUAGGUUAAAAUGCCUAGUUUAUUUUUAGGGACGAUAAGACCCUAUAGAACUUUAUAAUUUAUACUAUAAUUGAAUUUUGUAUUUAAAUUUUUUUUAUUAUAUUAAUUGUUUAGCUGGGGCGGUUACUAAAUUUAACUUUAGUUGAAAUUUUCAUUUGUAUAUGUUUUUUAUUAUCCUUUUUUUGGAAUAAAGAAAAAGUUACCUUAGGGAUAACAGCGUAAUUGGAGUGGGGAGUUCACAUCUAUACUUUCUUUUGCGACCUCGAUGUUGAAUUAAGAAAACUUUAAGGGGCAGCCCCCUUAUAAGGUGAGUCUGUUCGACUCUUAAAUUCUUACAUGAUUUGAGUUCAAACCGGCGUGAGCCAGGUUGGUUUCUAUCUUAAAAUUUAAAUUAACUUUUAGUACGAAAGGACCAAUGUUAAGCACUUGAGUGUUUUUUCUUUAAU